rnacentral:rRNA from 1 species
CCUACGGGUGGCAGCAGUGAGGAAUAUUGGUCAAUGGGCGUAAGCCUGAACCAGCCAAGUCGCGUGAGGGAUGAAGGUUCUAUGGAUCGUCAACCUCUUUUAUAAGGGAAUAAAGUGUGGGACGUGUCCUAUUUUGUAUGUACCUUAUGACUAAGGAUCGGCUAACUCCGUGCCAGCAGCCGCGGUAAUACGGAGGAUCCGAACGUUAUCCGGAUUUGUUGGGUUUAAAGGGUGCGUAGGCGGCCCUUUAAGUCAGCGGUGAAAGUCUGUGGCUCAACCAUAGAAUUGCCGUUGAAACUGGGGGUCUUGAGUAUGUUUGAGGCAGGCGGAAUGCGUGGUGUAGCGUGGAAAUGCUUAGAUAUCACGCAGAACCCCGAUUGCGAAGGCAGCCUGCCAAGCCAUGACUGACGCUGAUGCACGAAAGCGUGGGGAUCAAACAGGAUUAGAUACCCUGGUAGGC